rnacentral:pre_miRNA from 1 species
ACAACAACAUUCGGACCGUCGGUCUACCGAGCAAUAUCACCCGCUCGGUGGAAGAUCUUCCUUUCGUCGUUAAUC